GGAUGUAGUUCAGUGGUACAGUGCUUGCCUAGCACGUAUGAGGUCCCAGGUUCAAUUCCUGGUACUGCCA
rnacentral:tRNA from 1 species